UACGAAGGGGACUAGCGUUGUUCGGAAUUACUGGGCGUAAAGCGCACGUAGGCGGAUCGAUCAGUCAGGGGUGAAAUCCCGGAGCUCAACUCCGGAACUGCCUUUGAUACUGGCAAUCUAGAGACUGGAAGAGGUUAGUGGAAUUCCCAGUGUAGAGGUGAAAUUCGUAGAUAUUGGGAAGAACACCAGUGGCGAAGGCGGCUAACUGGUCCAGUACUGACGCUGAGGUGCGAAAGCGUGGGGAGCGAACAGG
rnacentral:rRNA from 1 species